UACGUAGGGUGCAAGCGUUGUCCGGAAUUAUUGGGCGUAAAGAGCCCGUAGGCGGUCUGUCGCGUCGGCUGUGAAAUCCCGAGGCUCAACCUCGGGUCUGCAGUCGAUACGGGCAAACUAGAGUAUUGCAGGGGAGACUGGAAUUCCUGGUGUAGCGGUGAAAUGCGCAGAUAUCAGGAGGAACACCAGUGGCGAAGGCGGCUUUCUGGACGGUAACUGACGCUGAGGAGCGAAAGCAUGGGGAGCGAACAGG
rnacentral:rRNA from 1 species